rnacentral:rRNA from 1 species
GACGAACGCUGGCGGCGUGCUUAACACAUGCCAGUCGAACGGAAAGGCCCUGCUUGCAGGGUACUCGAGUGGCGAACGGGUGAGUAACACGUGGGUGAUCUGCCCUUCACUUCGGGAUAAGCCUGGGAAACUGGGUCUAAUACCGGAUAGGAGCCAUUUUUAGUGUGAUGGUUGGAAAGUUUUUUCGGUGUAGGAUGAGCUCGCGGCCUAUCAGCUUGUUGGUGGGGUAAUGGCCUACCAAGGCGGCGACGGGUAGCCGGCCUGAGAGGGUGGACGGCCACAAUGGGACUGAGAUACAGCCCAGACGCCUACGGGAGGCAGCAGUGGGGAAUAUUGCACAAUGGGCGCAAGCCUGAUGCAGCGACGCCGCGUGGGGGAUGACGGCCUUCGGGUUGUAAACUCCUUUCGCUAGGGACGAAGCUUUUGUGACGGUACCUAGAGAAGAAGCACCGGCUAACUACGUG